GCGCCGCACCGCCGUUAAUGUUCAUUUUAUACACUUGCGGACGUCCAGCCUGGUCAGAGGUAAAGGCCAGAGUCUGGCUGUCCGGGAACCAGGUCGGCUCCGUAUUGUUGCUACGCCCGUCCGUUAUGUAAACGGCGGCCGUAACUAUAACGGUCCUAAGGUAGCGAAAUUCCUUGUCGGGUAAGUUCCGACCUGCACGAAUGGCGUAAUGAUGGCCAGGCUGUCUCCACCCGAGACUCAGUGAAAUUGAACUC
rnacentral:rRNA from 1 species